rnacentral:rRNA from 1 species
UACGAAGGGGGCUAGCGUUGCUCGGAUUGACUGGGCGUAAAGGGCGCGUAGGCGGUUCGUACAGUCAGACGUGAAAUUCCUGGGCUCAACCUGGGGGCUGCGUUUGAUACGUGCGGACUUGAGUGCGGAAGAGGGUCGUGGAAUUCCCAGUGUAGAGGUGAAAUUCGUAGAUAUUGGGAAGAACACCGGUGGUGAAGGCGGCGACCUGGUCCGAUACUGACGCUGAGGCGCGAAAGCGUGGGGAGCAAACAGG